rnacentral:lncRNA from 10 species
GACAGUGCCCUGCAGACUGGUUGGAGGUCUCAGGCAGGCCACACACUGAAUCUGUCAAGGUGUUCAACCUGUUCGAAAUGCUCGUUCCUCGGUGCUGUAAAGAAAUAGAACUUAAACUUAAAUUUAAUUUAUUUAGUAAGGCCAUUUUUACUUCCUGCAGAAAGGGUACACUCGCCAGCAGUUUUGCCAGGAGAGUACACUGAACAAAGGAGACAGGGUCAUUUAUAACGUGGCGCGUCCACCCUACUGCUGUGUCCGGUUUCCUUUGGCUGGAACGGGACCUCACAUUCUGUAUUUGUCCCGACUGACUAGCAACAUAGAACUUUUUAAAAGAGGCAAAGGCAGAGGAGAACAAAGGAAGAAGGAAGUAACUUGUGGAAUGCUGAGAAAGGCAGCUUGGAUUAAUUAGGAGAAAGUCAAUUGCGCCAGCAAAUGGAAAUCUCGGAAGAAGCAAAUCCAUUGUUUGACUACUUAAUUGUCAUUGAUUUUGAAUCGACAUGCUGGAAUGAUGGGAAGCACCACCAUAGCCAGGAAAUAAGUAAGUCU